CCAUCUGUCCGUCCCUGUGCCCCAUUCAUCCCUAUGGUGUCCGUCUGUCUCUAUGCCCACCCGUCUGUCUGUCUGUCUGUCUGUCCAUCCCCCUUUAUCAGCCCCAUAUCCCGUCUGUCCGUCUGUCCAUCCUGGACCCCCUUAUCAGCCCCAUAUCCCGUCUGUCUGUCUGUCCAUCCCCAGCCCCCUUAUCAGCCCCAUAUCAUGUCUGUCUGUCUGUCUGUCUGUCCAUCCCCAGCCCCCUUUAUCAGCCCCAUAUCAUGUCUGUCUGUCUGUCCACAGCCCCCCUUAUCAGCCCCAUAUCCCGUCUGUCUGUCUGUCCAUCCCCAGCCCCCCUUAUCAGCCCCAUAUCCCAUCUGUCUGUCUGUCCAGCCCCCUUUAUCAGCCCCAUAUCAUGUCUGUCUGUCUGUCUGUCUGUCCAUCCCCAGCCCCCUUAUCAACCCCAUAUCAUGUCUGUCUGUCUGUCUGUCCAUCCCCCUUUAUCAGCCCCAUAUCCCGUCUGUCUGUCUGUCCAUCCCCAGCCCCCUUUAUCAGCCCCAUAUCAUGUCUGUCUGUCCAUCCCCAGCCCCCCUUAUCAGCCCCAUAUCAUGUCUGUCUGUCUGUCUGUCUGUCCAUCCUGGACCCCUUUAUCAGCCCCAUAUCCCGUCUGUCUGUCUGUCCAUCCUGGACCCCUUUAUCAGCCCCAUAUCCCAUCUGUCUGUCUGUCCCCAGCCCCCUUUAUCAGCCCCAUAUCCCGUCUGUCUGUCUGUCUGUCCAUCCCCCUUUAUCAGCCCCAUAUCCCGUCUGUCUGUCUGUCCAUCCCCCUUUAUCAGCCCCAUGUCUGUCUGUCUGUCCCCAGCCCCCUUUAUCAGCCCCAUAUCCCAUCUGUCUGUCUGUCCAGCCCCCUUUAUCAGCCCCAUAUCCCAUCUGUCUGUCUGUCCAGCCCCCUUUAUCAGCCCUAUAUCCCGUCUGUCUGUCUGUCUGUCCAUCCCCCUUUAUCAGCCCCAUAUCCUGUCUGUCUGUCCAUCCCCAGCCCCCUUUAUCGACCCCAAAUCCUCUCCAUUCNNNNNNNNNNNNNNNNNNNNNNNNNNNNNNNNNNNNNNNNNNN
rnacentral:lncRNA from 1 species